AGAUUGAACGCUGGCGGCAGGCCUAACACAUGCAAGUCGAGCGGUAGAGAGGUGCUUGCACCUCUUGAGAGCGGCGGACGGGUGAGUAAUGCCUAGGAAUCUGCCUAGUGGUGGGGGAUAACGGUUCGGAAACGGACGCUAAUACCGCAUACGUCCUACGGGAGAAAGCGGGGGACCUUCGGGCCUCGCGCCAUUAGAUGAGCCUAGGUCGGAUUAGCUAGUUGGUGAGGUAAUGGCUCACCAAGGCGACGAUCCGUAACUGGUCUGAGAGGAUGAUCAGUCACACUGGAACUGAGACACGGUCCAGACUCCGUACGGGAGCAGUCAGGUGGGAAUAGUGGACAAGUGGCGAAAGCCUGAUCCAGCCAUACCGCGUGUGGUGAA
rnacentral:rRNA from 1 species